rnacentral:rRNA from 1 species
GACGAACGCUGGCGGCGUGCUUAACACAUGCAAGUCGAACGGAAAGGCCCCGGCUUGCUGGGGUCCUCGAGUGGCGAACGGGUGAGUAACACGUGGGUGAUCUGCCCUUCACUUCGGGAUAAGCUCAGGAAACUGGGUCUAAUACCGGAUAGGAGCUCCUGCUGCAUGGUGGGGUGGGGAGAGUUUCGGUGGGUGAUGAGGUCGCGGCCUAUCAGCUUGUUGGUGGGGUAGUGGUCUACCAAGGCGGCGACGGGUAGCCGGCCUGAGAGGGUGUACGGCCACAUUGGGACUGAGAUACGGCCCAGACUACUACGGGAGGCAGCAGUGGGGAAUAUUGCACAAUGGGCGGAAGCCUGAUGCAGCGACGCCGCGUGGGGGAUGACGGCCUUCGGGUUGUAAACUACUUUCGCUUGGGACGAAGCGCAAGUGACGGUACCGGGAGAAGAAGCACCGGCUAACUACGUG